GACGAACGCUGGCGGCGUGCUUAACACAUGCAAGUCGAGCGGUAAGGCCCUUCGGGGUACACGAGCGGCGAACGGGUGAGUAACACGUGGGUGACCUGCCCUCCACUCUGGGAUAAGCCUGGGAAACUGGGUCUAAUACCGGAUAUGACCACGGGAUGCAUGUUCUGUGGUGGAAAGUUUUGUCGGUGGGGGAUGGGCCCGCGGUCUAUCAGCUUGUUGGUGGGGUGAUGGCCUACCAAGGCGACGACGGAUAGCCGGCCUGAGAGGGUGAUCGGCCACACUGGGACUGAGACACGGCCCAGACUCCUACGGGAGGCAGCAGUGGGGAAUCUUGCGCAAUGGGCGGAAGCCUGACGCAGCAACGCCGCGUGGGGGAUGACGGCCUUCGGGUUGUAAACCUCUUUCGCGAUCGACGAAGGCCCACUUUCUGUGGGUUGACGGUAGGUCGAGAAGAAGCACCGGCCAACUACGUGCCAGCCGCCGCCGUAA
rnacentral:rRNA from 1 species